GUGCGAUGAAUCUUCAGCGACUCGUCCUUGAGGUCCUGCAGCCAGAUAAAUAAUUAACAAGCAUUAAUAACAG